UGGGGAAUAUUGGACAAUGGGCGAAAGCCUGAUCCAGCCAUGCCGCGUGUGUGAAGAAGGCCUUUUGGUUGUAAAGCACUUUAAGUGGGGAGGAAAAGCUUGUGGUUAAUACCCAUAAGCCCUGACGUUACCCACAGAAUAAGCACCGGCUAACUCUGUGCCAGCAGCCGCGGUAAUACAGAGGGUGCAAGCGUUAAUCGGAAUUACUGGGCGUAAAGCGCGCGUAGGUGGUUAUUUAAGUCAGAUGUGAAAGCCCCGGGCUUAACCUGGGAACUGCAUCUGAUACUGGAUAACUAGAGUAGGUGAGAGGGGAGUAGAAUUCCAGGUGUAGCGGUGAAAUGCGUAGAGAUCUGGAGGAAUACCGAUGGCGAAGGCAGCUCCCUGGCAUCAUACUGACACUGAGGUGCGAAAGCGUGGGUAGCAAACAGGAUUAGAUACCCUGGUAGUCCACGCCGUAAACGAUGUCUACCAGUCGUUGGGUCUUUUAAAGACUUAGUGACGCAGUUAACGCAAUAAGUAGACCGCCUGGGGAGUACGGCCGCAAGGUUA
rnacentral:rRNA from 1 species